CCUCAAACCGUUCGACGCCUUUAGCCAAAAGGCUCAACUGUUUAUCAUGGAGUGAAUUUCAGAUUUCUGUGUAUUUGCAUUUGUGCCAGUGAUUUAAUACUUUUUCAAAGCAAAUAUGUGCUCUUAAAUAACACGAUGUUAUCAGCGGUGACUUCUCGUCCCUCGGUCCAGUUUCAGGAGAAACAAAAACACGACGUGUCGGCCGCCGUUAUCCGGCUAUCAGGAAAACAACGGCAGCCGCAGAAGCUGCUGACAAACAGCGUGUGGUUAUCUUUACGUAAGAACCAGACUGAUGAAAUCCGGCCUCGUGACGCAGAUGAAUCACUCCGCCUUGUUUCACUUUCCAGACUGGGUGAAGCCUCCGGACGAAUCUCUGAUCGAGCUUUGAUUUUAUGAUUUCCUGGAACUCGCAGUGUUUUCGGCCACAGCAGUCCAGAUGUGCUUCAGGAGCAGAGGAGGGCGGGGCGGGCCACGGAGCCUCCGGGGUUAAAGGUGAACCGUGGCGUAAACACGGCGUCUGGAGGGAGGAACUUGGCCGGCUGCUGGGGUUUUCUGCUACGUCACGGCGCUAUUUAAACCCGGGCUGCUAUCAAUAGUCCAGACCUGUUCCUUCUUGUCGAGCAGCUUCAUAAGCGGAGCGGAGAGACGAGCUGAAGCGUGAACCAGGACCAGCAGAGCCAGCAGCCAGCAGAGCCAGCAGCGCCAUGGCCAGAACGAUGCUACCGCCGCCACCGUGGACCUCUGCGCACGGGAGCUGCGGAAGGUCGGCGACGAGCUCUACUGGAGGUACAAGCUCCUGGAGAUCCUGAUCAAGAACUACCAGACGGCGAGGAAGGCCCGGUGAGGCAGGCCGGACCGGCCUGGAACAUGAGCAGAGGCGUCUGAGAGGACGGACUCCCGCACCUGAGGAGACGGCCUGCGGGGGGCGCCGUGGAGAGCAGUCAGCCACCGACCACCAGGCUGAUCCACCGACCGGAGGAGGGAGGACCAGACACGUCUGGAUGGAGACCGGGUGAGAAGAGGCUCCGCCUGGAGGGAACGCCACUCACUGGGACCUGGUUCAGAAAGAACCCUGACCCUGUGCUGAGGGCCUGUCGGGAUGUGAAACAGGACGUUCCCCGUCGGGGCGGCUGUGAGUCGCUGGUACAGCGGUCGCUCAACUGGAAGGUUGUUGGUUCAGUUCCCGCUCACUGCAGAAGUGUCCUUGAUCCAGACCCUGAACCCCAAAGCGCUCCCAGUGGAUGGUUAGGAUGGCAGCCGCCCGCGCCGGGCUGUGUGUGUGUGUGUGCGCGCGUGUGUGUGUGUGUGUUCUGAUUCUGAUGUCAACAGUGAAACACAACAUUGUUUAUAUUGUUCUGCCUGUGAGAAAAUCUUUCGAUGUACAGGUUUCUCUUUUUUAAAUUGAUUUUGUGGGAAAUGUGAGAAGAUCUGGAAAUUUAAAUAAACAUGUUUGUUUAGUUUUUGA